rnacentral:misc_RNA from 1 species
UUUUCCGGUUUAUCCCGGAGGGCUUGUAGCUCAGUUGGUUAGAGCGCGCGCUUGAUAAGCGUGAGGUCGGAGGUUCAAGUCCUCCCAGGCCCACCAAUUUACCUAUCCAUUUGCCUUUAUCUGUUUAUUUGCCGAUUUAUCGGUCCAUUGAAUUUAAGUGUUGGUAGCAGUUUUAUAAUGAUGAGAAAUCAUGCUUAUAAAAGAACUCCUUAUAAAAGGCUUGUUUUUAAAAUGUGACGCUUAUCCAUUUCGCUUAGGCAAGAGAAACUUCAAGCGGUUCAAAUACAAAAGGCUUUAAGUUUUGCAAAACACUUU